rnacentral:rRNA from 1 species
CAGCAGCCGCGGUAAUACAGAGGGUGCGAGCGUUAAUCGGAUUUACUGGGCGUAAAGCGUGCGUAGGCGGCUAAUUGAGUCGGAUGUGAAAUCCCCGAGCUUAACUUGGGAAUUGCAUUCGAUACUGGUUAGCUAGAGUGUGGGAGAGGAUGGUAGAAUUCCAGGUGUAGCGGUGAAAUGCGUAGAGAUCUGGAGGAAUACCGAUGGCGAAGGCAGCCAUCUGGCCUAACACUGACGCUGAGGUACGUAAGCAUGGGGAGCAAACAGGAUUAGAUACCCCCGUAGUCCCUGUCUCUUAUAC